UGGGGAAUAUUGGACAAUGGGCGAAAGCCUGAUCCAGCCGUGCCGCGUGUGUGAAGAAGGUCUUCGGAUUGUAAAGCACUUUAAGUUGGGAGGAAGGGCAUUAACCUAAUACGUUAGUGUUUUGACGUUACCGACAGAAUAAGCACCGGCUAACUCUGUGCCAGCAGCCGCGGUAAUACAGAGGGUGCAAGCGUUAAUCGGAAUUACUGGGCGUAAAGCGCGCGUAGGUGGUUUGUUAAGUUGGAUGUGAAAUCCCCGGGCUCAACCUGGGAACUGCAUUCAAAACUGACUGACUAGAGUAUGGUAGAGGGUGGUGGAAUUUCCUGUGUAGCGGUGAAAUGCGUAGAUAUAGGAAGGAACACCAGUGGCGAAGGCGACCACCUGGACUAAUACUGACACUGAGGUGCGAAAGCGUGGGGAGCAAACA
rnacentral:rRNA from 1 species